UUUUUUUUUUUGGGAAAGAGUUUCGUGUAAUGGUGCGAUCUCCACUCACCACAACCUCCGCCUCCCGGGCUCAAGCGAUUCUCCUGCCUCAGCCUCCUUAGUAGCUACCGCCUUAUAGAGACGGGGUUUCUCCAUAUUGGUCAGACUGGUCUCGAAAUCCCGACCUCAGGUGAUCCGCCCACCUCAGCCUGCCAAAGGGCUAGGGAUUACAGGAGUGAGCCACCGCGCCUGGCCGAGAAAUCUUUCUAAAGAUCUUCGCAUCAAAAUUAUAGAAAUGUGGUUUUACUCUUUCAUCAGUCUUAACCUUUAUGGGAAUCAGCUAAAAGUUACAGACCUCUUCUUAAGAAUACAUACACUUAAUUAAAU
rnacentral:lncRNA from 1 species